rnacentral:rRNA from 1 species
CGCCGCGUGGAUGAUAAAGUCUUCCGAUUGUAAACUCCUGUCUUGCGAGAGUAAGGCCCCUCGUUUACUGCCUGUGGGAUUGACAGUACCCCAGGAGGAAGAGACGGCUAAAUCUGUGCCCCCACCCGCGGUAAUACACAGGUCUCAAGCGUUGUUCGGAAUUACUGGGCGUAAAGGGUGCGUACGCUGCGCAAAACGUCAGGUGUGAAAUCCCCGAGCUCAACUUCUGAAUUGCACCCUAUACUCCGGUGCUAGAGGACUGGACAGAAGCUUGGAAUUCUCGGUGUAGCACUGAAAUGCGUAUAGAUCGAGAGGAACACUAGUGGCGAAAGCUGGGCUCUGGACAGUAUCUGACGCUCAGGCACGAAAGUCAGGGGAGCAAACGGGAUUAGAUACCCCGGUGGUCCUGACAGUAAACGGUGCACGCUUGGUGUGGGAAGUGACCCUUUCCGUGCCGAAGCUAACGCGAUAAGCGUGCCGCCUGGGAAGUACGAUCGCAAGAUUAAAACUCAUAGAAAUUGACGGGGACCCGCACAAGCGGUGGAGUAUGUGGCUUAUUUCUAUGCAACGCCAAGAACCUUACCUGGCCUUGACGUGCAUUGUGUCGUUGGUGAAAGCC